CCUACGGGAGGCUGCAGUGGGGAAUAUUGGACAAUGGGGGCAACCCUGAUCCAGCCAUGCCGCGUGUGUGAAGAAGGCCCUCGGGUUGUAAAGCACUUUCAGUGAGGAAGAACGCCUGGUGGUUAAUACCCAUCAGGAAAGACAUCACUCACAGAAGAAGCACCGGCUAACUCCGUGCCAGCAGCCGCGGUAAUACGGAGGGUGCGAGCGUUAAUCGGAAUUACUGGGCGUAAAGCGCGCGUAGGUGGCUUGAUAAGCCGGUUGUGAAAGCCCCGGGCUCAACCUGGGAACGGCAUCCGGAACUGUCAAGCUAGAGUGCAGGAGAGGAAGGUAGAAUUCCCGGUGUAGCGGUGAAAUGCGUAGAGAUCGGGAGGAAUACCAGUGGCGAAGGCGGCCUUCUGGACUGACACUGACACUGAGGUGCGAAAGCGUGGGUAGCAAACAGGAUUGGAUACCCUAGUAGUC
rnacentral:rRNA from 1 species